AAACUCCAUCUCAAAAAAAAAAAAAAGAAAGAAAGAAAGAAGAAAUUCUUCAUGAUGGUGGGGUAGGCAGAGAUCAUAGAAAGAACUUACUAUAAAAGGAGGAAAAAGACAGCAUUAAAAAGAUAAAUAGGUAAGUCAUACACUAGGAGAAGGUUUUGUAAUACAUACUUUUGACAAAAGAUUUCUAUCUGGAACAUAUAAAGAAAUCUAAUAACUCAAUAGUAAGACCCCAACCAAAAUAAAAUAUGGGCAAAAAAAAUUUAACAAAUACCUCAAAAAGAAGAUAUACAAACAUCCAAUAAACACACAUGAAAAGUUGUUCAACAUUAUUAGCCAUUAGGGAAAUGUAAAUUAAAAUCACAAUGAGAUAACAUCACACACUCACUAGAAUGGCUAAACUUUAGGAGAAUCGGUAAUAACGUGUUGGUGACGAUGUGGAACAACUGGAACUCUUAUAUAUUGCUGGCAGGAGUGUGAACUGGAACAGUCACUUGGAAAAAAGUUUGGUGGUGUCUUAUAAAGUUAAACAUAUACUUACCAAUGCCCAGCAAUCUCCAUUAUAGGUAUGGUUGGGAUGUGAUUUGUCUGUGUCAAAACUCAUGUUGAAGUUUGCUUGCCAGUUCUGUCCACUGGGGAGGUAAGGCCUAGUGGGAGGUGCUUGGAUCAUAGGGGUGAAUCCCUUAUGAAAAUAGGUUGGUGCUGUUGUCCUAGUAGAGUGUUUUCUUGUUGUUGUUGUUGUUCUCAAGAGACUGGAUCAAUUCUCAAGGAAUGUAUUAGUUCCUGAGCAAGGGGUUGUAAUAAAGUGAAGUUUCUCCUCCUGUUUGAUCUCUCUUUGCAUACGUCUGCUUCCCCUUUAACCUUUUCUGCCAUGUUUUGACCCAGGACAAAAGCCCUCACCAGAAGCCGAGUGGAUGCCACUGCCACUUGAACUUCCCAGUCUGCAGAACUGUGAGCUACACCUUUUUAUAAAUGACCCAUCUCAAGUAUUCUGUUACAACACCACCAAAUGGACUAAGACAAGUAUUUAUCCAAAGGAAAUAAAAAUGUAUGUCUGCACAAAGAUUAGUACAUGAAAAAUGUCAGAGCAGCUGUAUUCAUAAUAACCAAAAACUGGAAAUAUCCCAAGUAUCCAUCAACAGGUGAACAGAUAAAUUGUGGUAUAUUCAUACAAUGGCUUACUACUCAGUAAUAAAAAGGAACAAAGUAGUGGUAAGUGCUACAACAUGAAUACAACUCGAAAACUUUAUACUGAAAGAUGCCAGAUAGAAGCAUACAUAGCAUAUUAUUACAUUUAAAUGAAGUUCUAGAACAAACAAAACUAUUUUGAUUGGCUGGCCUUGAAAAGGUGACAUUUGAGCAAGAUCUGGAUGUCAAGAGGGAGCCAGCUAUGGCAAGAUCGAUGGGGAGCAUUCCAGGCAAACAGCACUACAGGAACAGGAUCAGGAAAGAGCUUGUUGAGCUUGGAAACAGUCAGCAGGCCACAGUGACUGCGUGAAGUAGGUGGGGCAGAGAAUGGUGGGGGACAGGGUGGAGAGGUGGAUGGGAGCCAGAUCAUGCCAAGCCUUAUCAGCCCUGAUAAAGUUGUGGAAUUUGAUAUGAAUAAAAUGCAAAUCCCUCAUAGUUUUGUGGGGCGGAAACACAUAAGCAAAUAAAGGCAAUUCAGGGUCAUGGGUGAUAUAUUUGGGGAGUGUACAGGGAAAGAGGAGUAGUAGGCAUUAGGGACAUCUGAGAAGGCUUCCCAGAGGAGGUGACAUUUCGGCUGAGACUGGAAGAGUAGUAGAAGAGGGGAAAGGUCAUUCUGGUGGAGGGUACUGUGCCUACAGAAGCUCAGAGACAUGUAGCCUCAGGGAACAUUCAGAGACCUCAGCAUAAUAUAAGCCUAGUUGGAGUGUUCCCAACUAGGAGAGGGAGUGGCAGGAGAUCUGAGGCUGAAGAGAGUGGCUUUGAAUGCUUUGUCAGACUUGAUCCUGCAGGGAAUGGGAAACCCCUGCAGAAUUUAUAGUCAGGAAGUAUCAGGGCCAGGUUGACACUUCAGAUCAAGAUCUCCAGAUUGGCAGGCAGAGAGCAAGGCCACUGGUUCUAGUGUGAGAUAAUGGGGGACUGGGCCUGGGACUGAGCAGGGGUGGGCGGGGCAGGGAGUAGAGCCAAACUCUGCUAAGCAGUGACUAGGACUCUCCCGAUUGAGGCAAAGCUCUCCAGAUCUUGAGGCCCCAGAGGGCCAUAAAUACUUUCAUGCGCAUCUGUUCUCUUGGAGGGCUUGUCACACCUGAAGGCUCCUAGGCCCUGGCUCCCAGGGAUUCAGAAGUGAUAGGUCUAGGAUGAAGCCCAGGAAUCUGCAUACAUAAAAAGUGACACUCUCCACUCUGAUGCGGGUGGACUCCAUACCUUCCAGGCUGGGGAGGGGAGGGGGCAGGACAAGCACACUCUCAUCUGGACUGUGGCUGAAGCAGCUCAGAGAAUCGAAGGUAGCAUCUAAAAUAAGGACCUGGAUGCACUGGGAACAAAGGUAGUGUGUGUCUCCACUGCUGCAGCUAAAGAAUUGCAGUGGAGUGGCCCUGGUCAUCAUGCAGAAAAAUGACUCCUGAUCACCAGUCCAAGGAGCCACAGAAAUAAGAGAUGGGGCCAUGAUCGGACCAUAGAUCUGUCUUUUAACCUGUACCUUCUCCUAGGGUGCAGACAGGGAGGCAGGAAGGGGAUUACUGGAGGCUGCAGUAAACUAGAGAACAAGCUCUGUGCAAAGGAAGCCUCUCUUACCAUUCAGCAUCUCAAUGAAUUAACCCUCACAACAGCUCUAUGUGGUUGGUCCUAUUAUUAUUCCCAUUUCUUAGAUGGGGAAACUGAGACUCAAAAAGGUGGAGUAAGUAGUGCUGGGUCCCAAGGUGAGGACAUAGGGGAACCAUGGCUGGAACACAGGCCUCUGGACACUCCGAAUCAUAGCAUUGCCCUGUGUCCCCUUCAGUGGGAAAAGUCACUUCAUCUCUUAAUCUUAAAUGAUCUUCCAAGCAAGAGGAGGGGAGAGGAGGAGUAUAAGCUUUCUUUGUCCCAUCUUUUUCAGAAGGUAUCUAAGUCCUUCCUGUGUGUGUCUUCCAAAGAUACAGUACCAGGACCUAGAGAGGCUGAGAUUUAGAGCCUCAUGGUGCAAACUCAAUUGUAGGGUCCUAGCCAGGACUACUUGCCUGUAUCUUCUAAGAAUCUCACAACAGUGCCACAUGCCUCAGCUUUAUCCAAGCAACAGAAGGAGGUGGUGGAGGUGGUGAUGGCAGCAGCAGCAGCAGCAGCAGCAGUGGCAGCAAAUCUGUCCCCAGUGCACUACAGUACUGUUUUGCUAUGAUGAAAUACACAUGGCAUAUGGCUACAAAGUUACUAUCUUGAGAGUGGAUAGAAAUGGGAUUUUUCAUGUGCCAGAUUUCACUUCCCUUUCUGAAACAAUUCUUGUAGUAAACAGAGGUUUUCUGAUCUUGCUAAGAUCAAGAGGAUGGGAAUUCCUUUACACUUUUAAAGUAAGACCACUGUCUUGUAGAGUUUCAGUCUGUUGAUGGUGCAAAUGUUUUUUAAACAUGGACGCUAUUCUGUGUUCCUCCCUCUUUCCUUCCAAAGGCUACGACACAAAGAGGAGCUGCUAACACCAGAUGACCAACUCCUUUCCAGUUACGGACCAUCCCGGUGAUGAGACCUCCAUAUGUUGUCUGAUGGCCGCAGUUCCUUGAGAAGCGUGGCCUGUCAGCCCAGCAUCAGAUGGUUCCAUGCCAACCUCCUCCAUGGCUAGGUGUUGGAGCGCCCCAGCUGCUGCCUCCCUGGUAGCUUUCAUUAAAGGACUUUGCUUUUUUGGUGUCUACAUCUCUUAGGAAGAAGAGAAUAAUGAGAUGAUGUAUGCAGAGCACUGGCAGAAAGCCUAGCAUAGAGGAAUCUGAGGAUUCGCCAUGCAUGCUUCCUGGAAUGGAAACCCACACUGCUGUUGUGAAGACACCUGAUGAAACUCCAGCAACUUCUACAUCUGGCCUGCUGCUUAGUCCUGGGACCUGAGGUCAAAAUCUUAGAAAAGAGCCAUGUGAGAUGCAUUCCCUGGCCUCAUCUCUGUUCUUGGAUGCUGUCAGCAACACUCCUUGAGUUUUUACCCACAUAAUAACACUUUCCUCAGCAUGGAUGUGGAGGUGGGGUGCUCUGCAAAGGGUGGCUCUUACCCUCAGAUGGUCCAGAGGUAGUUUGGGGUGUGCAUGGAUCACCUUCACUCUUCAGAGGCAAACAGACAAUGCUGCUCUUCUCCAACAGCCUCUGAAGGACACCACCUACUGACUGGUUCUGAGAUGUUUGCUGCCCCAGAGUCUCCCACCUGCUUCUUCCUCCCCCUCAGUCCUUUUUUGUAGCCUCUCAGCCUCCCUUCUCUUAAUGCUCUUAGCACCCUUUCCUGGGUCUCUAUUUACCCUGCCCUCCCUUUCAGCAACUCCUUCCCAAACCACUGCAUACUUCUCCUUUCUUUCCAAUCCCUCCUCCCUUCCCAGCACUUUCGCCCUCCAUUGAAUCCCUCAAGCCUCAUUCUGGCCCCACUCCUCCCCUCACCCUCUAUCCCUGCCCUCCUCAGAUCUGCCAAACACCUCAGGCCUGGCUGCCUCUGUCCUGUUCCUACCAACCUUCUGACCAUGCCUCUGUGCUCCUUGGGACCUGGGCUCACAUUUUCAAUCUCUUCUCUCCUAUUAGUACAGCUCUGUCUAGAGCCAUGGUUCUUCUCUACCUUUCACAGCUGUCUUCUUUCCCACUUAUAUGAGUUUCUUUAAGUGUGAAAAUUAAAAAGUGCCACUUAAAUACAAUGAUUAAGUCAUAAUAAACAGUACAAGUUGUACUUAUGUGAGACAUACCACCCAUACACGUUUGAUCUU
rnacentral:lncRNA from 10 species